GCUGGGCAUGGUGGCGGGCGCCUGUAAUCCCAGCUACUCGGGAAGCUGAGGUAGGAGAAUUGCUUGAACCCAGGAGAUGGAGGUUGCAGUGAGCUGAGAUUGUGCCACUGCACUCCACCCUGGGUGACAGAGCGAGACUCUGUCUCAA
rnacentral:SRP_RNA from 1 species